GGUAGCAUACGCUUACCUCAAAGACUAAGCCAUGCAUGCCCCGUACAAGCUUCUACGGCGAAACUGCGAACGGCUCAUUACACCAGUGGCAACGUGCGCGGUGGUCCCUGCUAGUUGGAUAACGCUGGCAACUCCAGUGCUAAUACAUGGCUCUUUUCGCUGCACGCCAGCGGGCUUCGGCCUAGGCGAAUCACAGUGAAACAUCGACCGCACCGGCAGACCGCUUCGGCUUCUGAGGCAUCAUCUAGCGUCGGCAGGGUAGUGGCCUGCCGAGAAGUUAACG
rnacentral:rRNA from 1 species